GAUGAAGAACGCAGCAAAAUGCGAUAAGUAAUGUGAAUUGCAGAAUUCAGUGAAUCAUCGAAUCUUUGAACGCACAUUGCGCCCCUUGGUAUCCCGAGGGGCAUGCCUGUUCGAGCGUCAUUUCACCACUCAAGCCUGGCUUGGUGUUGGGCGACGUCCCCUUUGGGGACGCGCCUCGAAACGCUCGGCGGCGUGGCACCGGCUUUAAGCGUAGCAGAAUCUUUCGCUUUGGAAGUCGGGGCCCCGUCUGCCGGAAGACCUACUCGCAAGGUUGACCUCGGAUCAGGCAGGGAUACCCGCUGAACUUAAGCAUAUCAAUAAGCGGAGGA
rnacentral:misc_RNA from 1 species